UCCCUGGUGGUCCCAUGGUUAAGACUCUGCACUUCCACUGCAGGGGCCACGGUUCAACCCCUGGUCAAGGAA
rnacentral:tRNA from 1 species